GCUCUUCAAAGAGCUUUGCGUUUUCUUUCCUACUAUUUUUGAGCUCUUCCCUGAGAACUGCGUUGUCUUUCUUAAUAUUUUCGAGCUCUUCCUUUUGGUCUGCAGUUUUUCUACGUUUGUUCUCAAAUUUAAGCAACAUGUCUUUGUGAGUCUGAGACAGACUCAUCUCACUAGCCUCAAGCUGCAGUCUUAGUGACUCAUCUUCACUAUCGCUUCCAGAAGGUAAGUCAUUUAAUGAUUCCCGUGACAUUUUUUUUUAAAGGUUUAAAGCACGGUGUCACAGGUUAAACACGUAUUAGCUUUGUCUAAAACAACUGGCUGUUUCUGAAAAUGCUCCAAUGUAAACUGUUAAAGGCGCUCCCCUAUUUAAGGACUCGGAGACCGUGAAGUCGACCGUGACGUCAGAAUGGUCCUUUGAAGGUCAAAGGAUCAAAGAGCGAGGGGGCGUUCCAAGAUGGCCGAGUAAGUACACGCUUACUGCCGAGCUUAGCAAACGUAACCCUAUAAUACGGUAGGAACACUGUGUCAACUCAGACCUCAGAAGCGUUUUAGGUAUUUAAGCCAGAAAAGGACUGAUUUUGAUCAAUAAAGCGACAAAAUGUCACAGCGUGACAAUAAAAGACCCUCGGCUAGCUCCACAACGAAGCUACUGCUAAAGGCUAAUGCUAGCCAAACAGCCGGGUCGGUAAACCCACUGCUUGACAACUGCCAUGACUACACGGCUCUUUCACUACCUCUCCCAAUAACCGAGGACGUAAUGGACGAGUUUCCACCUCUACCCGUCUCACCCAGCCAGUCUCCGGCGCCAAAGAAAGCGUUGCAUUCAAAGACAGAAUCUCCAACUAUUCCACAUGUGGUCUCUUAUUGGAAUUCCUUUGUCAGUGACAUCAACUGGAAAAGAGCAUGGACAAUUCCUAACAAGUAUCUGGUAACGAAUAAAGUGAAGGAAGUCUCAUUUAAAAUGCUGCAUAAAUUUUAUCCUGCUAAUCAUUAUGUGACAAAGUUCAAAAGGGACAUAAAUGUGAACUGUGGAUUUUGUGGAAGCCAACCUGAGACUGUGCAGCACCUCUUCUGGAUCUGUUCAUACACUAGAACAUUUUGGAAAGACUUCAGUAGAUUCAUUGCUGGACAUCUCUACAAA